rnacentral:lncRNA from 1 species
AUCUUCUUCCCAAUGUCGGAGCCCCAGAGGAGAGGAUCGGCACUAGCAUACCCUAGAGUCUUCCAGUGGAGACUUGACUCUAGGAUACUCCCCGCAUCAAGUGGCUCAGUCUUGACACAAUCACCAUGUUGCCCUAAAAGCCCAGAACUGGCCCCCUAGUGCUCACACCAUUUCGCUUCGACUGCUCGACAAUCUCCUUCCCAACAUCGGAGGCCUAGAGGAGAGGAUCGGCACUAGCAUACCCUAGAGUCUUCUAGUAGAGACUCAACUCUGAGAUACUCCCUGCAUCUCAAUAGAUCUCGAUGAGGGGAUGAUCUUGAAUAAAAAGAUUCAGAAAAUAGAGUACAAGUA